GCCUUCUUGGCUCAGUUGGCUAGAGCGCAGGUCUCAUAGAAAUAUGAUGUGGUCUUCGCCAUUUAAUCCUGAGGUCGCAAGUUCGAGCCUUGCAGAGGGCA
rfam:Termitomyces sp. J132 unplaced genomic scaffold scaffold229, whole genome shotgun sequence.